ACACAUCUAGAUGUGUAUAAGAGACAGAUACAGAGAAGAUGGGCAUGGCCCCUGCACAAGGAUGACAUGCACAUUCAUGAAGCAUUCCAUAUUUUU
rnacentral:snRNA from 1 species